AUUAUCUAUUUCCUCCCUCCGCCGCCGAAUAAUUUCCUCCCUUUCCGCCUUCUUCAAUAUUUUUCAAUCUAUCAAAGUUUUCAAUGAAUCAGAUUGCCAUUGAAGUCAUGACAAGAUUCAUAUACCAUGUCUAGGAUGGUUUAUAUAGAACUGCGGGCACAAGAUAGGUUUUUCCUGAUUGAGGAUAAUUCUUGUGAAGUCGAAAGGGGAGGUAUGUCAGGCCGGCUGCCGGAAUUUGGAGAAUGAAUCAAUUUUGAUGCAGGAUCUCCUCUAUUACCAACCUUCAGUCAUGUCCCGCACUUCCAUUUCUUUCUCUAUUAUAUGCAGUUUUCGUGUAUAGGAUUUCAUAUAUAUCUCUAUUCUGUUGUGUAGUUUUCUUGGUUGGUGUAUAUAUAGUAUUAAUGAAUGUUAUUGUAACUUUCACAGAAAUAAAAUAAAAUUAGUUGAAUUGUGUUCUUCAAUGUAUUUUUCAUGAUUUGAAUGCUAUGUCAUGACA